AUUGAACGCUGGCGGCAUGCCUUACACAUGCAAGUCGAACGGUAACAGGGAGCUUGCUCCGCUGACGAGUGGCGAACGGGUGAGUAAUAUAUCGGAACGUACCUUUUAGUGGGGGAUAACGUAGCGAAAGUUACGCUAAUACCGCAUAUUCUCUGAGGAGGAAAGCAGGGGACCUUCGGGCCUUGCGCUAAUAGAGCGGCUGAUAUCAGAUUAGCUAGUUGGUGAGGUAAAGGCUCACCAAGGCGACGAUAUGUAGCGGGUCUGAGAGGAUGAUCCGCCACACUGGAACUGAGACACGGUCCAGACUCCUACGGGAGGCAGCAGUGGGGAAUUUUGGACAAUGGGGGCAACCCUGAUCCAGCCAUGCCGCGUGAGUGAAGAAGGCCUUCGGGUUGUAAAGCUCUUUCGGCCGGGAAAAAAUCGCAUGGGUUAAUACCCUGUGUGGAUGAUGGUACCGGAAUAAGAAGCACCGGCUAACUACGUGCCAGCAGCCGCGGUAA
rnacentral:rRNA from 1 species